UCCUAAGUAAACCAUUAUUGUUUUAGACAAAUUGAGAAAUGCAAAAAUAAAUAAAGAGAUGAAGAGUAGAAUCAAGGUGAGAUUUCCCAAACAAAGAGAAGAUGCAGGUUAUUAGGACUCAAGACCUAAAAUAUCUCUCAGUAUCUCACUUAACUAUGUCAACUGAAUCCACCCACUCAUUUAUUUUGUGAAACUGAUGAACAAGUAUUUGAUGAGUGAUUUCCUCACAUAGCAUCCAGGAACUCCAUGCCUUCCCCUGAUCCACAUAAAGUCAGUGAUCUGCAAUAUGUUGGCCAAAAGGAGAUUUAAGUCUUUCCAGUUUCCCAACCUGGACUCAAAAGUUCUUCCUCAAUAUAGUAAUACAUUUUACUGCAAAUAAUUAUUGGUGGUGAUUAUAUGUACAUGUAAUAUAAAAUAUAUAUUUUUAAAAAUCACUGUUUUAAAACAUAAUACUCAAAAACCAAAUAAACUAUCUUUUUUUAUAUUUUUAUAAACUAUCUUCAGGACACCAGUACUAAUAUUUUUUUUUUCUGAAGACAUUUCUGUGGAAGAUGUUUAGGACUUCCAAUGAGCUGUGCAGGUGAUUAUAUAUUUAAUAGAAAAUAGUUGUAGAUACUACAAGGAUCUGGGCAAUCACUGUAAUUUGCUUUACUUGUUUUUGAUUUCUUUUGAAAAGAAAAUAUAGGGAGAAAAGUCUUAAAAUAGACAUUUGUCUAUAUUACCAUACAAACAGCUCCUUCCUUAAUUUGAAUUUCAGGGUAAUGUUCCAAAGUCAUCAACUAGUCACAAAUUAAGGCUGGGUCAGGGAAAGGCUCCCAGUUUAACCUUUGUUUAUCUUUAUCUGUUUUUUUUUUUUGUAUAUUUAUUAUGUGUUAACUCAGUCUUCUUAGUAUUCCACCUAGAUAACCAGUUACUUAGAGGCGUGACAAUGUUUAUAUGUAAAACACAGCAGGAAGAAAGGGCAGAUGGCCAUCUCAGCGGUGCCCUGUAUGCAACAUUUACUACAACCCACUCACUUGGUUUAUCUCCUUUUAUGCACCAUUGUUCACUGAGUUUUGCACAUCUUUGGCAAAAUCUAACUCACUAGAUAUUGUGUUUCCAUGAUGAAAAGCAAACACACACAAUCUUUGAUUAAUAUCUGUGUGCCUCAAAUGCCAAUGUCAACCAAGUGAUACAAAAGUUGUAUGUCAAGAAUUUCAGAUUCUAAGGAAGCACAGGGUGGCGUCUGUCUUAAGGUGGGUGAUGUGAGGAAAAUGGAUUUUCCCUUAAUUUAUCUUGCUUUUGAUAUUACACAAAGCGAAAGGUAUUGAAUCAUUCACUCAAGUGUCUAAUUCUUUUUUUUUUUUUUUGAAGUGCAAGGGAAGUAAUUUGACCUUUGCUAAGUACUUUGAACAUAGAGAACACACGGUGCUCCAGGAAGUACAGGCAUCAGCACCUCUUUCCACAGUCAGCCCAGAGCAUAGCAGAUGAAUCCCAAAGUAACACUGCCCACAUUUCCACUCAAGCAAUGUACUUACUGAUGGCUUAAUACAAUAAAUAUGGAUGGCUAAUGAGAAAGUUCAAAUCAUAAGUGUUGACCCUUCUAACCUCUAAGAUGGGUGUUAACAUAUGCUUAUGAAUCUUGAAUAGGUCUAGUUUCCAAUGACCUGGGUAUCUAUGCUUUGAAUUUUUUAUGGGUCCUUUAGAUAUCAAAAUAUAUAAUGGCUGAAAGAACAUUUAGUGAUGCCCAGGCUAAUAAGUUCAGAGUCUUGAUUGUGCAUUGGGGUGACACACACAUGAAUAGUAGAUAAACAAGGGAGACAGAGAGUCUGGGACCUGAGCUUGUUAACUCAGAGUAGAUGUUAGAAAUGUCAGAUUCAGUCAUGUCAUGAUGAACCAGUCUUAAAAUUUGACUGAGAUUCUUUUAGGUCUCCUGCCCUGAAAUACUGUGGAAAUUACACAUUAGAAUCUCAGUUUCUUCAGAUGUGAAAUGGAGAUAAUAACAGGAAGUUUAAUCUUGUCACCGAAUCAGUUUCUUUCAGAGUUAUCCCUCUGGGUUGGGAAUUGUUCUAUAGGCUCUGCUUUCAUGAAAAAGGUUGCUCAUGUGAGCAAGAAGUGAUUGGGAAAUAGUCACAUAUUACUAAGUGCUAUGGAGAAAAUUAAACAGUUACUAUGGGAAAAGGCCAGAUCCAUGAGUGUAUAUUCCUUUAAAUAGAGGAAUCAAGAGGACAAGUAAUUGAGCUAUUUGUUGAUGGCCAUGAAGAAGUAUAUGAUAUGUUGAGAGUUAGGCAAAGGCAAAGGACCUAUGGUUAAAGCAAACAAAGUAAUGUGCAUAAGGCAUAGAAAGGUCAAGUGUGGUGUCAUGGUGAACAGGAAGAUGAGCAGGAGACAGGCUAGAGUUCACUGUAAGACUCCAUGGUGGUGCAGGCCUUUAAUACCAGCACUUAGUGGCAGGCAGAUCUGUGAGUUUGAGGCCAGCCUGGUCUAUGUAAUGAGUACCAGGACACCUAGGGCUAUAUAGUAAGACACUGUUUAAAAAGAAAAGAAAAGAAAAGAAAAAAAAGAAAAGGAAAGGAAAGGAAAGGAAAGGAAAGGAAAGGAAAGGAAAGAAAAGGAAAAAAAGAAGAGGAAAAGAAAAGGAAAGAAGAGAAAAGGGAAGGAAAGAAGAGAAAAGGGAAGGAAAAGAAGAGAAAAGAAAGGAAAAGAAGAGAAAUAAAACAAAACAAAAAAUAGAGUUCACUGUAAGUAUAGUGAGAAGAUGCCAUCUAAUCAUAUUUCUGUAUUCUGUACCGGUUUGAAUGUAAAUCAAUCCUAGCACAGGAAUCAUUGGUGAUUGGGGGAGUCAGGGUGGGGGAGUAGACAUUUACAUAGAAUCAGGAAAAGUAGCUUCAUGGAAAGUACACCAGCAUCAUUGAAAAGGAUCCCGAAGAGGAGUGAUGGGGAGAUGAGACAGCCUGUGAGGAGACAUAGAUGUAUUUGCCUCACAUGAGUGUGAAGGACUUAGCAUCUUGAAAGGUGAAAAAGAUGCAUGAUUGUGAUCCUCUCUGUAGUGUGAAUGUUACCUUCAAGCACUCAGAUGAAAAAGGUAAAAGUACCUUGUAUUCAACAUGGGUUGACUUGGAGCUUUGUUGUUGUUGUUUAAAAGGCUAUUUCUAAAUCAAAUUUUAAGCCUUCAAUUUUGUUGAAAAAUUUGAAAGCUAAUUGGCUAUCAAAUUGGCAGGUAUUAGGUAGAAACUAAUACCCCUGAUAAUUAUAAAUCAUGUUCAUGAAAACAAAUCCUUUAACAGGUGACUAAAGUACAUGUAUCACUAUGACUUCAGGGGCGGUAGAUACUUUAUUUUAUUUCUUUUGCUUUGUUUUGUUUUGUUUGUAGUUUUUAUUUUAGUACAUUUUGUUUUGUCCUCACUGGUUAAUGAAUACAAAGAUAGCUUUGUAAAGAAAUAACUGAGUCCUUUAACAUCUCAACAUUCUACCAUGCUACUUCAUUGCCUCUAAUAUAAACAAUUCUACCAAUGGUUACAGAUAUGUAAGCUAUGUACGAGGAGGAUAUUCUAAAAGGAAAUAGCUAUAUUUAAUUUUCCUUGUUCUAAUAUUAAAUAGUAAAGUUGAGGAUGAAUAGAUAAGGAUGGGGAAGCAACACUGAGUGUCUGUGUGUCUGGUCCUCUACAAGUUGCUUCAUGUACUUUUGCAGUCUGUCAUUGCUGGGCAUCUAACCUGGUUCUUUAUUUUUUUCUUUCCAUAGCUUUAUUAUUAUUUUUAUUGGAUAUUUUCUUUAUUUACAUUUCAAAUGUUAUCUCCUUUCCCAGUUUCCUCCCCCUCCCAGAAACUCCCUAUCCCAUUCUCUUCCCCUGCUUCUAUGAGGGUGUUCCUCCACCCACUCAUCCACUCCCGCCUUCCCUGCUCUCUAUUCCCCUACACUGGGGCAUCUAUUGAGCCUUCAUAGGUUCUUAUCCAUUCUUGGCAAGUAUUCUACUACUGACUGAGCUAAGUUCCUAGGCCCUUGGUGAUUAAUUUUAAUAAGAGAAGCCACAUAUUUAAACUCAAAGAAAGAGUGAUUUGGAUGUUUUGGGCACUUAUUUUGAUUAUUGUGCCCCCCCUUUUUAGUUGAAAUCAGACACUAAAUGCUUUGACAUUUUUCUGUGAUGUCUGUAGUGAGAACCAUGAACUGGAGAGAGAAAGGAAUGCAGCUUUCUCUUCUUGCCUAUGUCUAAUGUUCAUAUAGUCAUGAAGAAGCAACCUGGCACAUCUGCUUAAGCCCUAUUUGCAAGAAUAAUCAGGACAGCAAGUGGAAGAAGGAUGGGGGUAGAGACAAAUACCAUGGUGUUUGAGUAUAGAUCAUCAGACAUGUAUGUAGUCUAUGCCAACUGUGUACCAAAAAACCCCCAAAAAUCAAACAAAAAAAAACCACAAAAAACAUGAUUGCUACAAUGUAGGGAAACUUACAUUGCAUAAGCAUAAAGUAUAUAUAUACAUAAAGCUUAAGAAAUGUAAGUAAUCUAUUCUCAAAAAGGUUAGGCCAAUUACAUGCACAAGCAUAAAUUUUUGUUUCAGGGAUAAAAGUGUGAGGCAGAGAUACCAUUCUGUCGAAAUGAUAGAGGAAUACAAUCUUUAUAAAUGUCAACAGCUGUGGCUGGCCCAUGCUGGGUGGCAGUCCUUGCCCAGAUGGAACCCACAGACAGACCAUCCAGAGACUCGGGAGAGAAGGGGGUUGUCUCACAGUGGCUAAGAUGAAAGAUACUUACAGGUUGACGUAUAAGAGGAAGUCACCAAAGCCUUUGAAACAGCAGAUUUUCCCCCUUUCUGGGCAUAGACAGUGGUUUGUGAGAGCAGCUAGGAAGCAUGGAAAAACCAAUAUGGAGGUUGGCCAGUGAGAGAUCAAAGACCAGCGGAACCUCAAAGCUCUGGAAGUGAAACAAGUCGGAUGCAGCAUGACGAGGACUUCAAAGAUGGGAAGCCAGAUCAUAAAAAUAGUUUGAGUUGUCAAGUCUAAGAUGUGUGCCAGUUUCGUCACAUUCUGUUUCCGGGAGGGCUGUAAAAUGGAAAAUACUUUCGAUUCAUGUCAAUUUAAUUAUACAUAUCUUCCCAUACUUCUCAGCCAAUUUAUAAGAGAAAAGGUAUAUAUGUACACUCAAACGCAAAUCUCUUUUCUUAUUUUUUCAAUACAAUACAUUCUCUUAGCAUCGGUUUUAACAUUUAUACUUUCAAAUUUGGGGUGGCUAUAGAAAAUCAGUGUGAAAGCAUUUCAUCAGGGCAACGAAUGGGACACCACAAGGAGUAGCACUGUAUUUAAGUGUUUGGAAGUUUACAAAGGGGUUUGGAAUUCAGCCGUUAAUAAUAUAUGCAACUUCCAUUUGGUUCUUCAAGAGUUAUGGCAUAAGUUGAAAUCUUGGCGCUGGACCUAGGCCCACUGCGCAUAUGUAGCAGAUGAGCAGCUUGGUCUUCAUGCUGAUGCCCCAACUAUUGGUGCGAGGGUUAUCCAUGAGCAUAUAGCCUGCCUGCCUGUAGAUCCUGCUCCCCUUGUCUGACCUCAGUGGAAGAGGAUGCACCCAAUUCAGCAGCAACUUAGUUCAUGUGGGGAGUGGGGGGCGGGUUGGAGGAGAGGAAGGGUAGGAGGGAUGUAUGUGUAGAGUAACAUCCAGAGGGGCCUUCCCCUUAUCAAAAGAGAAGAAGGUGGAAUUGGGGAGGCCUGGCAUGAGGCUUCCUGGGAGGAGGGAUGGCUGAUAUUGGAAUGCAAAGGGAAUAUGUAAAUUAACUCAAAAUGACCAUUAAUGCGUUGUUCUUUGAAUCAAAAUAUAGAAAAAUGAAAUGCACAGCCAUUUUUAAUGCAGAUUUCUACUUUGAAAUUAUCUGUUUUAAAGUCAUCUGUGUUUGCCAAAGAACAACAG
rnacentral:lncRNA from 1 species